ensembl:lncRNA
GGGUUGGAUGUUAUGGGUGUUGAGGCAUGUUUUUAUAUCUAGUUGUCCCCACAAGGAUAGGAAUAUCUGGCAAGUUUGGCCUAGUGAGGACAUUUGGCUACUUCCCAUGAGGUAGGCCACCUCUCAGGAACGGCUCCCCUUCUCUGAUGACAGGUUUGGGCUGAUGACAUGACAUGGAAAAUUUCGGUGAACCUGUGCCCCACUGUAGCCUCAAUUUCCCGUCCUUGGCUGACAGGAGUGGAACCCGAUGUGGGCUUCUGCUGUUGUAGCGCAUCUGCCUCAAGGUUCUGCGUGUUGUGCAGUCUGGGAUACUUUUCUGCUCAUCACAGAUGCAAAGAGUGGAUAUUCAUGUCAUCUUAUCUUCCUGUCAGUUCAAACCAGUCUGGUUAUUCUCCCUCUGUCCUCUCUCAUCAGCAAGGUGUUUCCACCCACAGAACUGCUGCUCACUGGAUUCAUAUUUUUGGGCACCAUUGUGAGUUAACUUUAGAGACUGUUUUGCAUGAAGGAGAUCAGCAGUUUCUGAAAUAUUCACCAGGCUGUCUGGCACCAACAACCCUGCCAUUGUCAAAGUCACGGAGAUCAUAUUUUUUCCCCUGUUCUGAUGUUUGAUGUGAGCAUUACCUGAAGUUCUUUACUUGUAUUUGCAUGAUUUCGUAGAUGAUUUCAUGCAUAAUAUAUUUCCUAGACUGUGCUUGGUGUAUGGCUCAGAAAUUGGAAAAAAAUAAAAAUAAAUCAAUCGGUUUUCUGCAAGCGUUUCCUUUCUUG